GCGGGAAUAGCUCAGUUGGUAGAGCGCAACCUUGGCAAGGUUGAGGUCGCGAGUUCGAGUCUCGUUUCCCGCUCCA
rnacentral:tRNA from 1 species